AAAGGUAAAUUCGGCUUUAUCGGAUUUAAAGCUUUAGGUUUGGUUGUUUGGCAAAUAUGGUUGGUAAUGGUGGAGGGCUAGAUUAAAAGGGGAUAAUAGGAUAUCAGGAGAUGAGAGAUACAAAAAGUGCACCGUUCACACGAUUGCGGGGGAUCCACGAUCGACGAGGAGGGCGGUACACCGCGGGUAGAACUUCGGCAACGGGGAAGAAGAUGAAGUAGUGAUUCGGAAGAAGAGGAGGGGUAGAAGUAGAAGCCGAUCUUGUCACGAGGAAGAAGCGACAACGAUCAAGUUGAGGAAGAAGACGAUCUCGGCGCAAGGAAGAAGCAUCGAUGAUCUCACCGGGAAGUAGAGCACCAAAGAUAAAGAGUGAGAGUAGAAUUUUCUAUUAAUCCAAAUAUGUUUUUUAAGGCUUCAAGAACCAUGUAUUUAUAGUGUUGAGAGCCCUCUGAUAAUAAAUUAUUUUUUUCAUUUUCAACACAACACGGUCAUUCAAGAGUCAUGCAUAGAAAACGAAGCAAUUUUGGGAAUUUCAAAGGUCUUUCUUUUAUUUUUUGGGGAAUUCCAAAGGUCUUUUUGGGAUUUUUUUUUUUGUUUAUGGGAGAAGUCCGAAUCAAACACGAACCUACAAAAUAAAAGAAAAUUGCAUUUAAAAAUAAAACGAGAUUUAUUUGCUGCAUCAGUUCCUCUCGAGUUAUGGAAAUCUCGACUCUGUCGAGAUGGCAUCUUGAUAGCUCUGAUAUUAGUCCUUUUGAAGUUGGCGCAACUCCGCCUCAGAAAUCCAACUGCUAUCGGACAAUGGCCGUCCACGCCAACGCACCAAGUAUCGGCGAUGAGUACCACGUCGUGUCGCAGACUCGCGCACAUCCAGAAUAUCCUCCACGCCAUCUGAUGAAGUUUCAAUGUCGGAGCGAGAUGUCAAGCCAUCAAUAUUGAUAGUAGAGGGAGCCUCUCCAUGGUACUCGUAUAGCUUGCUGACAUUGAAGAUCGGAGACGUCGAUACUUCCGGAGGUAGAUUAAUUAGAUAAGCAUUUUCCCUAAUUUCUUCAGAAUUUUGAAUGGCCCGUGCUUUUUCCUCUUCAACUUGCUAUAGCCUCUAGUUGAGAACCUUUCUUUUCUAAACUAGAUUAAGACAUUAUCUCCUUCAUUAAAAGUCAUACCUCGGCGAUGUUUAUCCGCUGACUCCUUGUACUUGACAGUGGAAUCUCGCAACCUCUGAUGAACUUGUUGCACCUCUUGAAUCUGUUUUAGGUAAUAGUCGGCAUCUGCACUAACUCUACCAGGGUAAGGUAUUGGUGCUCGGUCAAGAAAGUGGGCUAUAGGACGGCCAUAUAAAGCUUCAAAAGGAGAUUUUCCAAUGGUUCGGUUUAUGGAACUGUUAUAAGCAAAUUCAGCUUGAGGUAAAAUUAAAUCCCAUUGUGUUGGUUUUUCUCCAGCUAAACAUCUUAAGAGAUUACCCAAAGAUCGAAUUACUAUUUCCGUCUACCCGUCAGUUUGUGGAUGGUAUGGGCUGCUGAAAUUCAGUUUGCUUCCUGCCUUUGACAUUAAAGUUCUCCAGAAAUGGCUAAUAAAUUUUGUAUCUCGAUCAAAGGUAAUUGAUUUAGGAAUGCCAUGUAAACGUACAAUUUCAUUGAAAACUAAUUUUGCAAUAUGUGAUGCGUCAGAAGUUUUCUUGCAAGGAAUAAAAUGAGCCAUUUUCGUAAAACGAUCAACAACCACAAAAACUGAAUCAACUUGGCGUGCAGUCUUAGGUAGGCUUAGGACAAAGUCCAUGCUAAUAUCCUCCCAGGGCACAGUGGGAAUGGGCAAAGGAGUAUACAAGUCAGUAUUUUGAGUUUGUCCUUUAAAUGAUUGACAAGUCUUACACCGCUAAACAAACCUUUCGACGUCCUUACUCAUGUUGGGCCAAUAAUACCUCUCUUGAACUAAUCCCAAGUUUUGUCUCUUCCGAAAUGUCCCCCUUGCCCGCUACUAUGCAAGUUCUGGAUCAAGGACUCUCUUAACGAUCCCUGGGGAAUGCACAACUUGGACUUUCUAAAAAGAUACCCGCCGUCUAAACAGUAAUUAGAAGAUAAAUCAUUGUCAGGAGAUAGGCACUUUUUUAGGAUAGCACCGAACACCGAAGUUAGGGUCACUUUGAUAUUGGUCCUUAACUAUCUCAAAUCCUACUAUCUGUAAGGAAGAAGUGAUAAGCAAAUGGUUUCGACGACUGAGUGCAUCAGCGACUCGAUUAGCAAUGCCUUGUUUAUGCCGCAAGUGAAAAGUGUAUUCUUGCAAGAAUGCAGACCACUUGGGAUGUCUUUUGUUCAAGUUUUUUUGAGAAUUUAAAUAUCGCAAUGCUUCAUGAUCCGAAUUGAGAAUAAACUCUCGAUGAAUCAAGUAGGGUCGCCAAUGUCUCAAAGCCUGCACGAUCGCGUAAAAUUCAAGAUCAUAAGUGGAGUAACGUGCUCGUGCAUCAUUCAAUUUUUCACUAAAGAAGGCUAUAGGACGUUUCUCUUGAGACAGUAUGCCUCCAAUUCCGAUAUGUGAGGCAUCACAAUCAAUCUCAAACACCUUUUCGAAGUCGGGCAAGGCAAGUACUGGAGCCUUUGUAAGUUUGUCCUUAACCAAUUGAAAACUUUUUUCAGCUUCAGAUGUCCAAGUAAAUUUACCCCCUUUUAGGCAAUUAGUUAUUGGCGCAAUUAAUGAACUGAAAUUUCGAAUGGAACGCCGAUAAAACGACGCAAGUCCGUGGAAACUUCGGAUUUCAGUUAUAGUCCUUGGGGUUGGCCAAUUUUGAAUUGCUUCUAUCUUAACAGGAUCUACUUUAAUUCCCUCGGUGGACACCACAUAGCCUAAGAAGGUAAGGCUAUCGGUCAGAAAUGUACACUUCUUAAGAUUCAGGUGUAAGCUGUUAUCUCUUAAAGUUUGAAGCACUUGUCUUAAAUGAUCCAUAUGAGUUUCAGGACUCGUGCUAUAAAUCAGAAUGUCGUCGAAGUAAACUACGACAAAUUUUCCAAUGAAUGGUCGCAAGACUUGGUUCAUAGAGCGCAUGAAAGUACUAGGGGCAUUGGAUAGCCCAAACGGCAUAACCAACCACUCGUAUAAUCCUUCUUUAGUUUUAAACGCCGUUUUCCAUUCAUCUCCAGGUCGAAUACGGAUUUGAUGAUAUCCGCUCUUAAGGUCAAUCUUAGAGAAUAUCUUCGCACCUCCUAACAUGUCAAGCAUAUCAUCAAUCCUAGGAAUGGGAAACCUAUACUUGAUGGUAAUUUUGUUAACUGCACGACUGUCAACACACAUUCGCCAUGUUCCAUCCUUUUUUGGUGUAAGGAGGGCAGGCACCGCGACAGGGCUCAUACUUUCUCUAAUGUAACCUUUUUGCAGAAGUUCAAAAACCUGCCUAUAUAACUCUUCAUGCUCAGCGGGACUCAUCCUGUAAUGGGCUAGGUGUGGAAGACUAGCACCGGGUACAAAAUCAAUGCAGUGUUGGAUGUCUCUCAUAGGUGGAAGGCCAUCGGGGAGUUCCUCAGGCAUGAUAUCAAAAAAUUCAUUAAGCAAUGGUUGAACAGCUUGAGGAACUUCAGUGUUCUUCGAUAUUUCUUUUGCCAAAAGAAUAUAUACCACUGGAGACUUUGCUAGAUCUUUAGAGAAUUGGCUUUUGUUCAAAACCAUCAUUUUCUGCUCAUUAUUGGAGGGUUGCUUUUAGGACUUAAUUGGUUUAGAUUUUGGUUUGGGAAAGUAAUUUAGGGGAACCAAUCUAACUUUCUUGUUGUCCUUUGUGACAAUGUAAGUGUUCUCCCUACCAUCAUGUAUAGUGCUACGAUCAAAUUGCCAAGGUCUACCUAACAAUAGGUGACUCACAUCCAUGGGAACAACAUCACACCAAACUUUAUGAGCAUAAGUUUUCCUAAUAGAAAAUUCAACAAGAUAUCUUUCAGUUACAGGAAAUUCAUCCCCAUCCUUAAACCAAGUAUUUUGUAAGGUUGAGCAAGUUUUUCAGUUUUCAGUUGAAGUUUAUCAACCAUUUCUGUAGAGACAAAGUUUUCAGUACUUCCACUAUCAAUGACCAGAGAGCAAAACUUGCCUCCCGCGCUACAGAUGGUUCUGAAAAGGCUACGACGCUUCCAAUCAUCUUGGGUGGACUUAGAGGCUGAUAGGACUCGAUGGACCAUGAGAUUUGUUUCAGUAGCAUCAGGAGAUUCUUCGGAAAUCUCAUCUACAUCUUCUUGUUCUAAAGUUUCUUCCCCAUUUUCAUUUUCUUCAUGACUUUCUAUUAGAUUGGCUCUAGAAUCAAAUUUUCUCAGAGGGCAAUCAGAGGAUUUAUGUCCAGGUUUGUUACAUUUAUAACAAGUGAUGCCAGAUUCAACGGGUUUUGCACCUAAAAUUUCUUUGCCAUUAAGGUCUUGAACAGGUCUUGAAGAGGUUUGACUAUCGUUCUUUGGGAUAGGCUUAGUUCCUAUGGUGUUCUUUACGUUCGCACUUCUCUGAUGAAAGGUUUGUCUUUUAAGUUUAUUCUUAGCCUUAAGUGCAUGACUGUAAGCCAUGUCGACCCUGUAGAAAGUUAAAAGGGCUAACUCAUCUUGGAUUUUAGUUCGAAGACCGGCUAGAUAGCGAGCUAGUAGCUGUUCUUCGUCCUCUUUAAGUUCAUUACGAGCUUGAAGGGUGUAAAAUUCUUCAAUAUUUUCUUGUACCGAUUUAGACCCUUGUUUAAGAUUGUGUAAUUUUUGAAAAAUAGUUUGUCAAUAAUCGAUUCGGUAAGAAUUUUCUUUUUAGUUUUUCUUUCAUUCUUUCCCACGAGGUAAUCUUUUCUUUACCCUUUCUAACCCUAUCGUUUUGAACUUGUUUCCACCACACUAAGGCAUGUCCUUUCAAUUUAAGGGAGACAAAUUUAACUUUUUUGUCAUCAGGUAAUUCUUUCCAUUCAAAAAAUUGUUCUAUUUUGUCUAGCCAAUCCACAAAAUCUUCAGGUUGUAAUUUACCCUUGAACUCACUCACGUCCACUUUAAUGCCCUGAUCCCAUCGAUGUAUAUUUCCUUGAGUUUGAAAAAGAGGAUUUCUUCUAGCCGGUAAAGUACGAUUGUCAAAAUCAGGGUCACUUUCCGAAUCUUCUCCAACUGUAGUUUGUUGUUGCAUAGUUAAUCUUUCCAAUAGUUGUUGAAUGUUAUUCAUUUGAUUUUGCAUGCUUUUCAUGGAAUCUUGUUGUUUUUCAUAUGCUUCUCUCCAAUCACGAGGAUUUUCACUAUUGCUUGCCAUUACCAAAUGCUUACAAGUUGAUCAAAAAAAUGAUGCUCUUUUAUUUUUUUGAAAUAUUUUGGCCCAAAGAUGAAUACUAAGAAAAAGUUGUUUAGAUCAAAACAAACGCUCCUACGAAAAGAACUUGCUUUGAUACCAAUUGAUGCAAACCGAGAGGUUGCCAAAAUUGAAUUUUCAAAGAAUUUUCUAGUUUGCUUUUGUUUAAAGGUAAAACUAGGUUCAAUUUAUCAAUUCUGAUGAACUUUAAGUAAGGAAGCAAAAAUUUCAGCAUUACAAAUUAAAAUCGAAUUGAAGUUAUACUAAGAUGAUGAUAAACCUUCAAUAUAUGAGAUAAUAACAACCAACUGAAAAUACAUAUAAUAGUUCCAAAAGGUAAAUUCGGCUUUAUCGGACUUAAAGCUUUAGGUUUGGUUGUUUGGCAAAUAUGGCUGGUAAUGGUGGAAGGUUAGAUUAAAAGGGGAUAAUAGGAUGCCAGGAGAUGAGAGAUACAAAAAGUGCACCGUUCACACGAUUACUGGAGAUCCACGAUCGAUGAGGAGGGCGGUACACCGCGGGUAGAGCUUCUGCAACGGGGAAGGAGAAGAUGAGGUAGUGACUCGGAAGAAGAGGAGAGGUAGAAGUAGAAGCCGAUCUUGUCACGAGGAAGAAGCGACAACGAUCAAGUUGAGGAAGAAGACGAUCUCGCGGCGAGGAAGAAAUAUCGAUGAUCUCACCGGGAAGUAGAGCACAAAGG
rnacentral:lncRNA from 1 species